rnacentral:rRNA from 1 species
AUUGAACGCUGGCGGCAGGCUUAACACAUGCAAGUCGAACGAUGAAGAUCCAGCUUGCUGGAUUGGAUUAGUGGCGGACGGGUGAGUAACACUUAGGAAUCUACCUGACAGCGGGGGAUAGCCCGGAGAAAUUCGGAAUAAUACCGCAUACCUUCUACGGAAGAAAGGGGGCAGUUUACUGCUCUCACUGACAGAUGAGCCUAAGCAAGAUUAGCUAGAUGGUAGGGUAAAGGCCUACCAUGGCGACGAUCUUUAGCUGGUCUGAGAGGACGAUCAGCCACACUGGGACUGAGACACGGCCCAGACUCCUACGGGAGGCAGCAGUGGGGAAUAUUGGACAAUGGGGGCAACCCUGAUCCAGCCAUGCCGCGUGUGUGAAGAAGGCCUUUUGGUUGUAAAGCACUUUAAGUAGCGAAGAAGACCCCAUGGUUAAUACCCAUGGGCGAUGACAUUAACUACAGAAUAAGCACCGGCUAACUCUGUGCCAGCAGCCGCGGUAAUACAGAGGGUGCAAGCGUUAAUCGGAAUUACUGGGCGUAAAGCGAGCGUAGGUGGUUAAAUAAGUCAGAUGUGAAAUCCCCGAGCUUAACUUGGGAACUGCAUCUGAAACUGUAUAACUAGAGUAGAUGAGAGGGAAGUAGAAUUCCAGGUGUAGCGGUGAAAUGCGUAGAGAUCUGGAGGAAUACCGAUGGCGAAGGCAGCUUCCUGGCACCAUACUGACACUGAGGCUCGAAAGCGUGGGUAGCAAACAGG